UCACAACUUUUGCCUGAAGUGCUUUGAGAAAUGGGUUGGUCAAGGGAAACGCACUUGUGCCAUAUGUCGAACUUCGAUUCCUUCUAAAAUGGCGAGCAACCCUAGAAUCAACUCAUCACUAGUAAUCGCCAUCAGA
rnacentral:pre_miRNA from 1 species